rnacentral:rRNA from 1 species
GUAUUCCGGGGAGCACGCCUGUUCGAGUGUCGUGAAAUUUCUCAAGCUUGGAUGGCUUUUUUGUCCGUCCUUAGCCUUGGUUGUUGGGCUUUGCCGUGCCCUUCAUUGGGACGGCUGGCCUUAAAAGCAUUAGCUGAUCCUCGUGUGGCACUGGUUCUACUCAGCGUGAUAAUUGUCUGAUCGCUGAGGACAUCUUUUGGGAUGGCCAGUCCUCAUUUGGGUUGCUUCUAAACCUGGUCUUGCAGAUUCUUCAAUCUGUGUUCCACUUUUCAGCUUUGACCUCGAAUCAGGUGGGACUACCCGCUGAACUUAAGCAUAUCAAUAAGCGGAGG